rnacentral:rRNA from 1 species
UACGAAGGGGGCUAGCGUUGCUCGGAAUCACUGGGCGUAAAGGGUGCGUAGGCGGGUCUUUAAGUCAGGGGUGAAAUCCUGGAGCCCAACUCCAGAACUGUCUUUGAUACUGAGGAUCUUGAGUUCGGGAGAGGUGAGUGGAACUGCGAGUGUAGAGGUGAAAUUCGUAGAUAUUCGCAAGAACACCAGUGGCGAAGGCGGCUCACUGGCCCGAUACUGACGCUGAGGCACGAAAGCGUGGGGAGCAAACAGG